UACGGAGGGGGCUAGCGUUGUUCGGAAUUACUGGGCGUAAAGCGCACGUAGGCGGACUCUUAAGUCGGUGGUGAAAUCCUGGAGCUCAACUCCAGAACUGCCUUCGAUACUGAGAGUCUCGAGUCCGAGAGAGGUGAGUUGAACUGCGAGUGUAGAGGUGAAAUUCGUAGAUAUUCGCAAGAACACCAGUGGCGAAGGCGGCUCACUGGCUCGGUACUGACGCUGAGGUGCGAAAGCGUGGGGAGCAAACAGG
rnacentral:rRNA from 1 species